UACGUAGGUGGCAAGCGUUGUCCGGAUUUAUUGGGUUUAAAGGGUCCGCAGGCGGAUUUAUAAGUCAGUGGUGAAAGCCCGUCGCUCAACGACGGAACUGCCAUUGAUACUGUAAGUCUUGAAUUCGGUCGAAGUGGGCGGAAUAUGACAUGUAGCGGUGAAAUGCUUAGAUAUGUCAUAGAACACCGAUAGCGAAGGCAGCUCACUAGGCCUGGAUUGACGCUCAGGGACGAAAGCGUGGGGAGCAAACAGG
rnacentral:rRNA from 1 species